GAUGGGUAGCGAAGUGGUCAAACGCGGCAGACUGUAAAUCUGUUACUUAGGUUUCGAAGGUUCAAAUCCUCCCCCAUCC
rnacentral:tRNA from 1 species